AACGCGAAGAACCUUACCUACCCUUGACAUGUCGCGAAUUGGGGAUAAGCGCCCCGAGUGCCGAAAGGAACGCGAACACAGGUGCUGCAUGGCUGUCGUCAGCUCGUGUCGUGAGAUGUUGGGUUAAGUCCCGUAACGAGCGCAACCCUUAUCCUUCGUUGCUACUUGUAAAAGAGAGAACUCGAAGGAGACUGCCGGUGACAAACCGGAGGAAGGUGAGGAUGACGUCAAGUCAUCAUGGCCUUUAUGGGUAGGGCUACACACGUACUACAAUGGGAUGAACAGAGGGCUGCGAACCUGCGAAGGGGAGCCAAUCCUAGAAAACAUCUCGUAGUCCGGAUCGGAGUCUGCAACUCGACUCCGUGAAGUUGGAAUCGCUAGUAAUCGCGGAUCAGAAUGCCGCGGUGAAUACGUUCCCGGGCCUUGUACACACCGAGACGAC
rnacentral:rRNA from 1 species